rnacentral:rRNA from 1 species
UAUGCUAAUACGGGAUAAUAUAUUUGAGAGGCAUCUCUUGAAUAUCAAAGGUGAGCCAGUACAGGAUGGACCCGCGUCUGAUUAGCUAGUUGGUAAGGUAACGGCUUACCAAGGCGACGAUCAGUAGCCGACCUGAGAGGGUGAUCGGCCACAUUGGAACUGAGACACGGUCCAAACUCCUACGGGAGGCAGCAGUGGGGAAUAUUGCACAAUGGGCGAAAGCCUGAUGCAGCAACGCCGCGUGAGUGAUGAAGGCCUUCGGGUCGUAAAACUCUGUCCUCAAGGAAGAUAAUGACGGUACUUGAGGAGGAAGCCCCGGCUAACUACGUGCCAGCAGCCGCGGUAAUACGUAGGGGGCUAGCGUUAUCCGGAUUUACUGGGCGUAAAGGGUGCGUAGGCGGUCUUUCAAGUCAGGAGUGAAAGGCUACGGCUCAACCGUAGUAAGCUCUUGAAACUGGGAGACUUGAGUGCAGGAGAGGAGAGUGGAAUUCCUAGUGUAGCGGUGAAAUGCGUAGAUAUUAGGAGGAACACCAGUUGCGAAGGCGGCUCUCUGGACUGUAACUGACGCUGAGGCACGAAAGCGUGGGGAGCAAACAGGAUUAGAUACCCUGGUAGUCCACGCUGUAAACGAUGAGUAC